GCCCCCGUAGCCCAAUGGCAGAGGCAGGCGACUUAAACUCGCUCCAGUGUCAGUUCGAGUCUGACCGGGGGUA
rnacentral:tRNA from 1 species